ACCAAAAUACAUCAGGAAUCGUACCAAUCACCCCCACACUCCAGAAAUACCACAAUGCAACUAUAGGAAGGGGUUAAACAGCCAAAUCACACAGAAAAACAUAUUUCAUUAAAUUUUUAGGUUAUUACAUCAUCAUCUACUAAAAAUUUGGUUCAUCUUUGAACUAAGGUAAAGAAAUAUCUGAAUUAACGAAGAGCUGGGGAUAAGAACUACGCAUAUCAGACUCGACCUCCUACAUAGCCUCAUCUAUAGGUAAAUGUUGCCACUGAACCUUAAUCAUAGGAAUAACACUAGAAUGCAACCGUCUAACAUCCCUAGCCAAAAUGGAGACCGACUCUUCAAAAAAAGACAAUCGCUUAUCUAACUGAAUUGACUCCCAACGAAUGACAUGGUACUAAUUCAGAAUGUAACUGCAAAGCAUAAAAAUAUGAAAAAUUAGAUGAAUAGCCGAUAAAUCUUGGGGCAAAGCAAACUCAUAGGCCACAUUAUUAAUAGUCCGAAGUCUAUUCUAAAUGAUCCAAACUCUAUCUAGGGACUUACUAAACAAGUUCGGACCUAGAGGUAUAACCUCAGAAACAUCAAACUAACCAACUGGAGAGCAACAACACCUACCAUACAAUGCCUCAAAAAGAGCCAUAUUGAUACUAGAAUGGUAGUUGUUAUUAUAGGAAAACUCUACUAAAGCCAAAUAUUGCUCCCAAUGGCCACCAAAAUCCACCACGCAAGUGUGGAGCAUAUCCUCUAAAACUUGGAUAAUCCACUUUGACUGACCAUCAGUCUUGGGUAAAAUGUUGUGCUAAGAUCAAACCGAGUGCCCAAUCAUCUUGAAAGUUUUUCUAAAAGUGAGAUGUGAAUAUCGAACCAUGAUCUAAAAUAAUAGACACUAGCACACCAUGAAGACGUAUAAUCUCAUGUAUGUAGAUACGAGCCAACCUCUCGGUACUGAAGAAAACCUGGACUGAAAAAUAUGCCGACUUGUUCAAUCGAUCCAUGAUGACCCAAACACUAUCAAAACCAUGCAAAGAGUGUGGCAAACCAGUCAUGAAGUCCAUAGUGAUUCAUUCGCAUUUCCACUCAGGAAUGGGUAACCUCUGAAGAAAUCUACCUGGUCUCAUAUGCUUGGCCUUUACUUGCUGGUAACAAAGGCAACGUGCUGCAAAAUCUUCUAUAUUCUUUCUCAUACCACUCCACCAAUAAUGCCACUUCAAGUCAUGAUACAUCUUAGUCACUCCCGAAUAGGAUAGAAUACCUGGAACAAUAAGCUUCCUCUAAAAUUAAUCUAAUCCAAUCACCUACUCUCGGCAUACAAACCCGACUUAUAUUAAAACAAACGACUAUCUUGAUUCAUUAGAAGUUGGACAGGUAAACUCCAAGAACCCAUGCCACACCAGGCGUUACAACGCUAAAGUUAGACAUACUUACUUAAAAACUAUUUACUUUUCUAACUAUCUAAUCCAAUACCAGGUGCUACAACACUGAAGUAACCCAUGCCAUACUCCCAGGAAAAGCUCGAACGACUUUUAGCUAGAGGGUACCUGUAAAAUGACACAGGUUGGUAGGUAGAGUAUACUAAGGGAGCGAGACAACUCUCUCUACGAAAAUUGACAAAAUAGCCCUGUAACUUCGGAAGAAGGGGUGCCUCUUCACAUUACAAAGGGGGUUGCAGUGACCAGGCCUGAAUGAUUAUUUACCAAAAACAUAGGUCUCCGCAAAGUCGUAAUACCUUGUAUGAGGGAUGACGCCUGCCCACUGUAGGAGGGCCAAGAAAGUUGGUGACCUGAUGACAGGGGAACCGGCGAUCGAAGACCUGGUGAAUGAUGGUUGUAACUAUAACGGUCCUAAGGUAGCGAAUUCCUUAUCAAAUAAGUUUUGAACUACACGAAAGGCGUAAUGAUCUGGGCACUAUUUUGAAAAAAGGCUUGGUGAAAUAGACAUGUCUGUGAAGAUAUAGACUACCUGCACCUGGACAGAAAGACCCUAUGAAGCUUCACUGUUCUUUGAGAUUGGCUUGGGGCCUUUACUACACAGCUUAGGUAGAAGAUGAAGAAGGCCUCUUUCCGAGAGGAGAGGAGGGGGGCCUGAGCCAUCAGUGAGAUACCACUCUGGAAGGGCUAGAAUUCUAACCUUGUGUUAGGACCUACUGGCCAAGGGACAGUCUUAGGUAGACAGUUUCUAUAGGGUGUAGGCCUCCAAAAAGUAACGGAGGCGUGCAAAGGUUUCCUCUAUCUGGAUGGAGAUUGACCCUCCAGUGAAAAGGAAAAAGGGAUCUUGACUGCAAGACCUUACCAUCGAACAAGGAUGAAAGUUGGCCUUAGUAAUCCGACGGUGCUGUGUGGAAUGACCGUCUCUCAACGGAUAAAAGUUACUCUAGGUAUAACAGGCUGAUCUUCCCCAAGAGCUCACAUCGAUGAGAAAGUUUGGUACCUCGAUGUUAGCUUUUCGCCACCUGGGGCUUUAGUAUAUUCCAAGGGUUGGGCUGUUCGCCCAUUAAAGCGGUACGUGAGCAGGGUUCAGAAUAUCAUAAGACAGUUUGGUCCAUAUUCGAUGUGGGAGUUAGAGCAUUAAGAGGACCUUUUCCUAGUAUGAGAAGACCGGAAAUGACACAUCUCUAGUGUACCAGUUAUCGUGCCCAUGGUAAAUGCUGGGUAGCCAAGUGCGGAAAGGAUAGCUGCUGAAAGUAUCUAAGUAGUAAGCCUACCCCAAGAUGAGUGCUCUCCUAUUUUGACUUCCUCAAAGCUUCCGAUAGAGCAGUCGAGACAAUGGUGGGUUCUCUUCCUCUACCGAGAUGGAACGAUAAAAGUUUUUUUGAGAAUUCAAGAGAAAGUCACGGCGAGAUGAGCCGUUUAUCAUUACGAUAGGUGUCAAGUGGAAGUGCAUUCAUGUAUGCAACUGAGCUAUCCUAAUAGACUGGUAGGAACCUUU
rnacentral:rRNA from 1 species